rnacentral:rRNA from 1 species
GUGGGGAAUCUUCCGCAAUGGGCGAAAGCCUGACGGAGCAACGCCGCGUGAGUGAUGACGGCCUUCGGGUUGUAAAGCUCUGUUAUAUGGGACGAACGGGCAUGGGGCCAAUACCCUCAUGCAGUGACGGUACCGUAAGAGAAAGCCACGGCUAACUACGUGCCAGCAGCCGCGGUACUACGUAGGUGGCAAGCGUUGUCCGGAAUCAUUGGGCGUAAAGGGCGUGUAGGCGGCCAGCCAAGUCUGUCUUAAAAGUGCGGGGCUCAACCCCGUGAUGGGAUGGAAACUGUCGGGCUAGAGUGUCGGAGAGGAACGCGGAAUUCCUAGUGUGGCGGUGAAAUGCGUAGAUAUUAGGAGGAACACCAGUGGCGAAAGUGGCUUUCUGGACGACAACUGACGCUGAGGCGCAAAAGCCAGCGGAGCAAACGGGAUUAGAUACCCGUGUAGUCC